GGUCGACAAAGCGGUAGAAUUGUGUGUAGACUAUGUCCAGAGCAUCGGCUGCCAGUUUCAUCGCUACGUCCAAGAUUUCUCUGCGGUCGAGGAUGUAACUGAAGGUACUCUCGUAUGUUGCUAGAUGGCCGAGCGCUCGCAAGGCAACUCUCUGUUCCACCCAGCUCUGAUGGCGAAUUCCUCGACAAUCAUGGUAUAAGAGCCGAUAAUGUGAGCGGCAUAAUACGGGAUGAAUAUGUUUUGGUCGCUGGCCAGCCAUUUUCGGUCCCGGAUACCUUUGAAAAUGAGAGCCGCCAUGCACUCGAAAAUUCCGAGCUCGAUGAACUCGCCAUCGGUCGGCCGGAGCAGUGCUGCGUUCCAGAGACCACUUAUCGCCAUCACCUGUCCGGGCUCGUCUCGCUCGGGAAGCUGCUUGAAAAGCUGUGCGAUACUGGAGCGACGCUUGGAGGGAGCUACAUUCUCUUUCAUCAGGCAGAAGAGGCAUCCGGGGAGUGGAAGUUAUCUCUAGGAACAAGACUCCAAACAGUGAGCAGAGAUCUUCAUAGAGGCGGUGCUACGUUUUGAAGAGGGAGAAGAACUUACUAGCGUUGUGUGGAGGCUCUGAAUUGCUGAAGCACUAGAGGGUCCCUCCUGUCAAAAGACGAUGCACAACUGAAAAGGGGCUGCUUGUAUGAUCCGUUGAAACACUCUUUCCUCGGAGAACGUUGCGAGAUCGCAAAAAGAAGUACCGGGACAAGAACAAUUAUCCGCACCACCACACCGAAGGACGACACGCAUUAUCUGGACGAAUCAUGUUUGGAACAAACCUGUUCAUCAUUCGUAAGGCGAGAAAGCUCGAGUGUUUGGUGCUAGAUCCUGUCGUUGAUUGAAUCGUGACCGGCCAGCAGCCAAUUCCUCUCCCUGUUCACGAAACAGACUGGGGGGUACUGUGCAAACGGCCGCUCAAGCUGCGACUGGCGUUUUCACGUGAGACGCAAAUGGAUUACAAG